AAGGGCACCUAUUAUGCCCCUUUUUACAAGAUAUAAUAAUGGUCUUGGGUGUCCCCAGAAUGUAUUUGUGAAGUUUCAGCACAAAAUACCCCACAGUUAAUUUAUUAUAACCAUUUGAAAAUGUCAUUUUUGGGGCCUGUUUUAAAAAGAGCUGUUUUGGUGUGUACCACCUUAAAUAUAAAUGAGCUGCAUAUCCCCGCCCUGCCUUUGGAUGAGGGCGUAACUGGCACACCUAUUACAAUGAGCGAUCGGUAUCGGUAGAAGCAGAAUGGCUGAGAGUGGGAGACCCGCUGUUUUGUAUGGCAUUCAGCCGUAUAUGUUUGAACCAGAAUCAGACCCAGAUGAUGAAGAGACUCCGGCAGAAGAAACACAAAUGAGAAUGGAGCAGGACGUCUCUGAAUGGUUGUUUGAUACAUUUAUGUACUUAUAUUUUAAUCGCGUCCCCUUUGCAAUUAUGGAUGUGCAACACGCACUGUGAUAACGUUCGCGCAAUUUUUUUAAACUACAAACACAAAUACUGUGAUAACGUUUGCUAAGUACAAACGAAAUUAUAUUUAUGCGAGGGAACGAUUGCGUCAUGUUGACAUUACUUGUCGUACAGGUGUUUAUGUGGCAAAUGUGAGAAGAUGGCUACAGAACCAGAAAAUAUAUGCUGCAGGGAGAUAGAACAGGUUACAAGACGGAUGCAACAACUUGAAGUCACUCCAUCAUGUAUGGUAGACCAUCCCGGAAUGGAUCCAGUUUGUUUAAAUGUGUUUUCGUUACAAAACGCUUUUAACAUUUACAGGGCUGACUAUGGUCCCCUGCGACUUCGUGGAGUACAACAUCGUUACAGAUUUUUAGCUUAUCGGAGUUUUGUGAGCUGGUGCUGGGGUUUCCUUGGACGAAAAGUUCGAGUUGUGAUUCCAUCCUGUGUGGUCCUGAGGAUUCGAAGAGAGUUUCCUGAUGCCCAGGGUAGUUAUG